GUAGUCCUAGCGAAGUGGUCAGCGCGAACGGAUUCAAAAUCUGCUCUACUUGCAUGGCGCAGGUUCGAAACCUGCCGACUUAU